AAUCAACGCUGGCGGCGUACCUAACACAUGCAAGUCGAACGCGAAAGCGUCUUCGGACGUGAGUAGAGUGGCGUCCGGGUGAGUAACACGUAGGUAAUCUACCUUCGGGUGGGGAAUAACGCCUCGAAAGAGGCGCUAAUACCGCAUAACGCAGCGGCAGCUAAUGCUGAUUAGUUGUUAAAGCGGGGACCGGAGAGAUCGGCCUCGCGCCUGAAGAGGAGCCUGCGGCAGAUUAGCUAGUUGGCGGGGUAACGGCCCACCAAGGCGACGAUCUGUAGCUGGUCUGAGAGGACGGCCAGCCACACUGGCACUGACACACGGGCC
rnacentral:rRNA from 1 species